UCCCAGAACUCUUCCGGAUGAUCCACC
rnacentral:piRNA from 1 species